rnacentral:rRNA from 1 species
GACGAACGCUGGCGGCGUGCUUAACACAUGCAAGUCGAACGGAAAGGCCCUGCUUUUGUGGGGUGCUCGAGUGGCGAACGGGUGAGUAACACGUGAGUAACCUGCCCUUGACUUUGGGAUAACUUCAGGAAACUGGGGCUAAUACCGGAUAGGAGCUCCUGCUGCAUGGUGGGGGUUGGAAAGUUUCGGCGGUUGGGGGUGGACUCGCGGCUUAUCAGCUUGUUGGUGGGGUAGUGGCUUACCAAGGCUUUGACGGGUAGCCGGCCUGAGAGGGUGACCGGCCACAUUGGGACUGAGAUACGGACCAGACUCCUACGGGAGGCAGCAGUGGGGAAUAUUGCACAAUGGGCGGAAGCCUGAUGCAGCAACGCCGCGUGCGGGAUGACGGCCUUCGGGUUGUAAACCGAUUUCGCCUGUGACGAAGCGUGAGUGACGGUAAUGGGUAAAGAAGCACCGGCUAACUACGUG